AAUGGGUCAGCGACUUAUAUUCUGUAGCAAGGUUAACCGAAUAGGGGAGCCGGAGGGAAACCGAGUCUUAACCGGGCGUUAAGUUGCAGGGUAUAGACCCGAAACCCGGUGAUCUAGCCAUGGGCAGGUUGAAGGUUGGGUAACACUAACUGGAGGACCGAACCGACUAAUGUUGAAAAAUUAGCGGAUGACCUGUGGCUGGGGGUGAAAGGCCAAUCAAACCGGGAGAUAGCUGGUUCUCCCCGAAAGCUAUUUAGGUAGCGCCUCGUGAAUUCAUCUCCGGGGGUAGAGCACUGUUUCGGCUAGGGGGCCAUCCCGGCUUACCAACCCGAUGCAAACUGCGAAUACCGGAGAAUGUUAUCACGGGAGACACACGGCGGGUGCUAACGUCCGUCGUGAAGAGGGAAACAACCCAGACCGCCAGCUAAGGUCCCAAAGUCAUGGUUAAGUGGGAAACGAUGUGGGAAGGCCCAGACAGCCAGGAUGUUGGCUUAGAAGCAGCCAUCAUUUAAAGAAAGCGUAAUAGCUCACUGGUCGAGUCGGCCUGCGCGGAAGAUGUAACGGGGCUAAACCAUGCACCGAAGCUGCGGCAGCGACGCUGAUGCGUUGUUGGGUAGGGGAGCGUUCUGUAAGCCUGCGAAGGUGUGUCGUGAGGCAUGCUGGAGGUAUCAGAAGUGCGAAUGCUGACAUAAGUAACGAUAAAGCGGGUGAAAAGCCCGCUCGCCGGAAGACCAAGGGUUCCUGUCCAACGUUAAUCGGGGCAGGGUGAGUCGACCCCUAAGGCGAGGCCGAAAGGCGUAGUCGAUGGGAAACGGGUUAAUAUUCCCGUACUUGGUGUUACUGCGAAGGGGGGACGGAGAAGGCUAUGUUGGCCGGGCGACGGUUGUCCCGGUUUAAGCGUGUAGGUGUGUGUUCCAGGUAAAUCCGGUUCACUUUAACACUGAGGCGUGAUGACGAGGCACUACGGUGCUGAAGCAACAAAUGCCCUGCUUCCAGGAAAAGCCUCUAAGCAUCAGGUAACAUCAAAUCGUACCCCAAACCGACACAGGUGGUCAGGUAGAGAAUACCAAGGCGCUUGAGAGAACUCGGGUGAAGGAACUAGGCAAAAUGGUGCCGUAACUUCGGGAGAAGGCACGCUGACACGUAGGUGAAGUGAUUUACUCAUGGAGCUGAAGUCAGUCGAAGAUACCAGCUGGCUGCAACUGUUUAUUAAAAACACAGCACUGUGCAAACACGAAAGUGGACGUAUACGGUGUGACGCCUGCCCGGUGCCGGAAGGUUAAUUGAUGGGGUCAGCGCAAGCGAAGCUCCUGAUCGAAGCCCCGGUAAACGGCGGCCGUAACUAUAACGGUCCUAAGGUAGCGAAAUUCCUUGUCGGGUAAGUUCCGACCUGCACGAAUGGCGUAAUGAUGGCCAGGCUGUCUCCACCCGAGACUCAGUGAAAUUGAACUCGCUGUGAAGAUGCAGUGUACCCGCGGCAAGACGGAAAGACCCCGUGAACCUUUACUAUAGCUUGACACUGAACAUUGAGCCUUGAUGUGUAGGAUAGGUGGGAGGCUUUGAAGUGUGGACGCCAGUCUGCAUGGAGCCGGCCUUGAAAUACCACCCUUUAAUGUUUGAUGUUCUAACGUGGACCCGUGAUCCGGGUUGCGGACAGUGUCUGGUGGGUAGUUUGACUGGGGCGGUCUCCUCCUAAAGAGUAACGGAGGAGCACGAAGGUUGGCUAAUCCUGGUCGGACAUCAGGAGGUUAGUGCAAUGGCAUAAGCCAGCUUGACUGCGAGCGUGACGGCGCGAGCAGGUGCGAAAGCAGGUCAUAGUGAUCCGGUGGUUCUGAAUGGAAGGGCCAUCGCUCAACGGAUAAAAGGUACUCCGGGGAUAACAGGCUGAUACCGCCCAAGAGUUCAUAUCGACGGCGGUGUUUGGCACCUCGAUGUCGGCUCAUCACAUCCUGGGGCUGAAGUAGGUCCCAAGGGUAUGGCUGUUCGCCAUUUAAAGUGGUACGCGAGCUGGGUUUAGAACGUCGUGAGACAGUUCGGUCCCUAUCUGCCGUGGGCGCUGGAGAACUGAGGGGGGCUGCUCCUAGUACGAGAGGACCGGAGUGGACGCAUCACUGGUGUUCGGGUUGUCAUGCCAAUGGCACUGCCCGGUAGCUAAAUGCGGAAGAGAUAAGUGCUGAAAGCAUCUAAGCACGAAACUUGCCCCGAGAUGAGUUCUCCCUGAGACUUAGAGUCUCCUGAAGGAACGUUGAAGACGACGACGUUGAUAGGCCGGGUGUGUAAGCGCAGCGAUGCGUUGAGCUAACCGGUACUAAUGAACCGUGAGGCUUAACCUUACAACGCCGAAG
rnacentral:rRNA from 1 species